rnacentral:rRNA from 1 species
AUUGAACGCUGGCGGCAUGCUUUACACAUGCAAGUCGAACGGUAACAGGCCGCAAGAUGCUGACGAGUGGCGAACGGGUGAGUAAUGCAUCGGAACGUGCCCAGUCGUGGGGGAUAACGCAGCGAAAGCUGUGCUAAUACCGCAUACGAUCUAUGGAUGAAAGCGGGGGACCGUAAGGCCUCGCGCGAUUGGUGCGGCCGAUGUCAGAUUAGGUAGUUGGUGGGGUAAAGGCUCACCAAGCCAACGAUCUGUAGCUGGUCUGAGAGGACGACCAGCCACACUGGGACUGAGACACGGCCCAGACUCCUACGGGAGGCAGCAGUGGGGAAUUUUGGACAAUGGGCGCAAGCCUGAUCCAGCAAUGCCGCGUGCAGGAAGAAGGCCUUCGGGUUGUAAACUGCUUUUGUACGGAACGAAAAGGUUUCUACUAAUACUAGGAGCUCAUGACGGUACUGUAAGAAUAAGCACCGGCUAACUACGUGCCAGCAGCCGCAGUAA